GACGAACGCUGGCGGCGUGCUUAACACAUGCAAGUCGAACGGAAAGGCCCUGCUUUUGUGGGGUGCUCGAGUGGCGAACGGGUGAGUAACACGUGAGUAACCUGCCCUUGACUUUGGGAUAACUUCAGGAAACUGGGGCUAAUACCGGAUAGGAGCUCCUGCUGCAUGGUGGGGGUUGGAAAGUUUCGGCGGUUGGGGAUGGACUCGCGGCUUAUCAGCUUGUUGGUGGGGUAGUGGCUUACCAAGGCUUUGACGGGUAGCCGGCCUGAGAGGGUGACCGGCACCAUGGGGACGGGGAUCCGGCCCGGACUCCACGGGAGGCAGCAGUGGGGAAUAUUGCACAAUGGGCGGAAGCCUGAUGCAGCAACGCCGCGUGCGGGAUGACGGCCUUCGGGUUGUAAACCGCUUUCGCCUGUGACGAAGCGUGAGUGACGGUAAUGGGUAAAGAAGCACCGGCUAACUACGUG
rnacentral:rRNA from 1 species